GUUAAAGUUAUUGAAUUAUAUUAAUUUAAUCUUAGUAUUCUCGGAAAAUGUUUUACAAAACGUAUUCUUUUGUUUUAAUUUUUGUGUGUUGUAUUUAUUUUAGAGAUGUUUUUGCAAACAUAUUUAUAAAGGACAAUACAGGAACACUAAUUUAUCAUAUGACGGAUGAUAGUUCCAAACAGUUUGGGAAUCUUAAUAUGGUAAGAAAUUAUUUUAUGUAAACAUUGUAGUAUGUUUUAAUAUUGAGUAAAUACGGGAUAAUGAUAUGAGGGGCAUCUAUCCAAAGACUGCCCCAGCAAGAAAAAAGGUCGGGACUUUAACACGACCAAUAGAUGAGAUGAUAGACUACCCCCACCUCCACGUGGUCCAACCCGAGCAACGGCCCCACCGCUUGAGUAGGACUAACGAGGAAGGCAGCGCCGCGUUGUGAUUUGGCUAUAGAUUAAUAUCGGGUCGUAUCACAACGCAGUGGUGAGAAGAUUUUAAGGCGACAUGGGCCGCCCUGAAGCAAUGCUUCACGGCAGUUCCAAGGCGGUUCACAUUAAGUCGGUUAUAGGAGAGAAAAAAAAGGGAUAAUGAUGUGCAAUUAUUAUUGUCAUUAUUAAGUAAGACAUUUUGUUUUUUUUAUUUUACGACUUGCAUUAUUGCGAACCGCCCUGGAACUGCCGUUGGGUAUUACUUAAAGCGUUUGCGCCAUCUCUAUAACUCACAUCACUGUGUGACCUUUAUCAUUAUCCGGGUCUAAAAAUCGGGUUCGUUACCCUGGCCGCUUCACAUGGAGAUGGAUGUAUGACUUUGCGAAAGUCUUAAACACACAUAAAGAUUUUCUAAAGUGCCGGCCUGAACCAGCGCUUCUAUUUCAGAUGUUCGGUCGAUUUGCCUUUUCUUCCUUUAAUUUUUAUAUCAUCGUCCCUCAAUAUUAUCCUUAAAAAUUGAAAACAUUUUUCGCAUUCCCCGUAAAUGGAGGAAAUUUCUAAAGAAAAUACAAAUUUUAAAAUUGCUAAUUUUCGACAUUUUUUCAAUUUUUGUUACUUUUUACUUACGUUCAUUUGACGUACAUGCGCACGAAAUUCUAUAGGAUUUACAGUAGAACCGUUGUUUUACUGUUCGAUAGUUAUUUUUCUAUCCUAGGUGACAUUCUAAGGGGUCGU